rnacentral:rRNA from 1 species
GAUGAACGCUGGCGGCGUGCUUAACACAUGCAAAGUCGAACGGAGAAAGGGUAGCUUGCUAUCUUUCUUAGUGGCGGACGGGUGAGUAACGCGUGGGUAACCUGCCCUUUGCAGGGGGAUAACAGUGAGAAAUCACUGCUAAUACCGCAUACCAACUUCUUUCGCAUGAAAGAAGUUUGAAAGAUUUAUCGGCAAAGGAUGGACCCGCGUUGGGUUAGCUAGUUGGUGAGAUAACAGCCCACCAAGGCAACGAUCCAUAGCCGGCCUGAGAGGGUGAACGGCCACACUGGGACUGAGACACGGCCCAGACUCCUACGGGAGGCAGCAGUGGGGAAUAUUGCACAAUGGGCGAAAGCCUGAUGCAGCGACGCCGCGUGAAGGAUGAAGGUCUUCGGAUUGUAAACUUCUAUCAGCAGGGAAGAAAGGGCCUAUGGCCUAUGACGGUACCUGACUAAGAAGCCCCGGCUAACUACGUG